AAAGCUUUAAGUUAAACAAACUAGUAGCCUUCAAAGCUGAAAAUAAACAUUGUUUAAGCUUUA
rnacentral:tRNA from 1 species